CGUAACGCGCCUUGGUCGAAGUGUAUUGCAGAAAUUUCUACAGUGGCCGUCUGAUCGCGGAAGAUAAUCGCGGACGUGAACGGUGCCGGCUUCGGCUUUUCAAUUCGCGUUACGCAAGGAAGUCGUCGCCGUCGGGCAGAAGAACAAACGGAAUCGCUCGCCACGGGACGAUGGAAAAAACGGCAGGACGAAGAAAUCGACCCGGCGAAGGUCGAGUGCCAUCGCGACGCUUUGUCAUUGGAGACACGCUUAAAAAUCUGCGUGGCCAGCAACGACGCGAUGCCGCGAUCGAGUUGGAAAAUGUGCCAAGCGACGGAGGUGCGGGCGCCGCCGAUCUCGCGAACGCGACGACGAUGCAGAGCAACAACGCGGACAGCAACACGGACCUGGCGAUGGUGGCGUCGAGCAACCCCGCCUUGGCGACGCCGGGGCUGAACAACCCCUCCUGGAAUCGCCAGCAGGCGGUCAGCGUCAGGCACGCCUUCAAGACCUACGGCAGCAGCAAGAAUCCGAACCACGUUAUACAAAAUCUCAGCAUGACAGUGGCCAAGGGCUCGAUAUACGGGCUGCUGGGCGCCAGCGGAUGCGGCAAAACCACCCUGUUAUCUUGCAUCGUCGGCCGGAGGAGAUUAAAUUCAGGCGAGAUCUGGGUACUGGGCGGCAAACCCGGGACAAAGGGUUCCGGAGUUCCUGGAAAAAGGGUUGGCUAUAUGCCACAGGAGAUCGCUCUUUACGGCGAGUUCACCAUCCGCGAGACCAUGAUGUACUUCGGCUGGAUAUUCGGAAUGUGCACAGCAGAGAUCGUCGAGAGGCUACGUUUCUUGCUGCAGUUCCUUGAUCUGCCUUCGCAGAAUCGUUUGGUGAAGAAUCUUAGUGGCGGUCAACAAAGACGAGUAUCUUUCGCAGUGGCUCUCAUGCACGAUCCGGAAUUGCUGAUUCUGGAUGAACCGACCGUAGGCGUGGACCCGCUGUUGAGGCAAAGCAUAUGGAAUCACCUGGUUCAAAUCACCAAAGAUGGGAACAAGACGGUCAUUAUAACGACUCAUUACAUCGAAGAAGCCCGACAAGCGCACACGAUCGGUUUGAUGAGGAGCGGCCGGUUGUUGGCUGAGGAGGCACCCAGAACCCUCUUGCAAAUAUACAACUGCGCCUCCCUCGAAGAGGUCUUUCUCAAGCUCUCCAGAAAGCAGGGACAGCAUGCUCAACCGACAGAGCUGAAUAUCUCAAGCAACAUCAGCUUGGCUUCUUUAAACUACUGGGGGAAAAAAGACGAGCCGGUAUACGUGACGGAGGAAUCCGGUGUUGUCGGCCUCAACUUCCACCAAAGCAAAGAGGUCCUGAUCUCCGACUCUACCAACGGAAUAGCGAAUCAUUAUGAUAUAAACAGCAAAGCGCUGCCGAGUACGAAAUCCAAUGCUGUCGUGGAGUGCGAUGAUUGCGGCGACUUCACAGACUGUUAUAAGAUCACCAGUUGGGGCAAGAUUAAAGCGCUUCUGCAGAAGAACUUUUUGCGUAUGUGGAGGAACAUCGGCGUGAUGCUGUUUAUCUUCGCCCUACCGGUGAUGCAAGUAAUCCUGUUCUGCCUGGCGAUCGGAAGGGACCCCACGGGACUGAAACUGGCCAUAGUGAACCACGAGAUGUUUUACGAGAACAUGUCGUGCCCCGUUUCGACGAACUGCAGUUUCACGUUUCUCAGUUGUCGGUAUCUCAACGCCCUGGACAGCGAGUCGAUGAUAAAGGUAUACUAUCCGGACACGGAUUCGGCGAUGGAAGCCGUACGCAGAGGAAAUGCUUGGGGCACCUUGUACUUUACGGAGAACUUCACGGACGCCCUCGUGGCGAGGAUGGCCUUAGGAAAGGACGCCGAUGAGGAGGUCCUUGAUCAAAGCGAAAUCCGAGUUUGGCUGGACAUGUCUAAUCAACAAGUGGGCCUGAUGCUGGCGAGAAAUCUCCAGUAUUCGUAUAGAGAUUUCGCCAAGGACCUUCUGUCGUCCUGCGGGGAGAAUACGAAGCUGGCCGACGUGCCAAUUCAGUUCAUGGAUCCCAUUUACGGUACCAACGAGCCCAGCUUCACGGAUUUCGUGGCACCAGGUGUAAUAUUGACCAUCGUCUUCUUCCUGGCGGUCGCGCUAACGUCAUCGGCGCUGAUUAUCGAGAGGAUGGAGGGCCUGCUGGAUCGAAGCUGGGUGGCCGGCGUGUCGCCCGGCGAAAUUCUCUUCUCUCACGUGGUCACGCAAUUCGUGGUGAUGUGCGGUCAAACGGCCCUGGUGCUGAUCUUCAUGAUCCUGGUGUUCGGCGUCGAAUGCAAGGGUGACAUCGGCUGGGUUAUCAUACUGACGAUCCUUCAAGGGCUCUGCGGCAUGUGCUUCGGGUUCGUGAUUUCGGCGAUUUGCGAACUCGAAAGGAAUGCCAUCCAGCUGGCUCUGGGCAGCUUUUAUCCUACGCUUCUUCUCAGCGGUGUAAUAUGGCCGGUGGAGGGCAUGCCGACGAUCCUGCGAUACAUCUCGCAAGGUCUGCCACUGACGAUGGCGACGACCGCCCUGCGCUCCAUGCUGACCCGCGGCUGGAGCAUCUCGGAACCGAAUGUCUACAACGGCUACAUCUCCACCAUCAUCUGGAUCAUCGUGUUCCUCACGAUCAGUUUGCUGGUGCUGAAGUUCAAGCGCGGAUAAGGGACAGCGGCUCCCGCUCUUGCGUCCAGGCUGUAUUCGGUGUACAGUGGCUCGCGAACAUUCCGCGACGGACAGACGAGAGAGAGCUCUGAAUCAAAGGAGCGAAUGUUCCCCGAAGAGGAACGAGUCGAUCGGGAAUCGGUGGCGAGCGGUGUACUCUCGAUGGAUGUGACGUCGCGGCCGGGACUCGCCUUUUCCACCCGAGAGCGAGGUGGUCCUUCGAAGACAAUCUUCCUUUAUCUGUUUCGUAUCUGUAUUAUAUAGCUGGGGUCAAAAUUAACGGAGCGUUAGUUAGGAACCGUAAAGAAUUAGCGGGGGACUGUAGACGCAAUCGGAUGCCGACGACCGCGAAGGGCCUUGGAGAACUUUUGCACUCGUACCUUGGACCCGCGAUCCAAGGAGGGUCUUUCUAUCUAGGAGCGUUGCACAAUAUCCGAAAAAAGGUAAUCCCCUACGGGGAAAGAAACGACUUGCCGUCGUUUAGUCGACGAUCCGGCGACAGAGUGAAGCACUCCUGGACCUUGGUCGGUGGAUCGGCUUCGAUUCCAAAUGUCGACGAUCUCGCAACAAACUCCGCCGCGAAUGGACCUCCGAUACAUGUGAUGCUCCCGCGUGCGUUUAACGUGCUCGUAAAGCUCACGUAUCGCGCGUGCACGCGCGAUGUAUGCCUGUGUUAUACAUAUGUAUGUAUGUGUAGUGUGCGUAAUGUAAACUCUCGAAUAAAUGUACGACGAUAUGCGUGAGACUGCCGCGUUUGCCUCGUGCGUCUGUUGAUAGGGAUCAUGUAUUUUAUUCGGCGUCUGUGAAAAUCAGCCCGGAUGCCCGAGGAUACCGCCAGGGUUCUCCCCGUCAAUUGUUCUUCUCGAGGAUCGCGAUCGAGGGAUGUAGAAUCGGCGCUCCCCGUUUACACGGCUUUCACCGGCAUGUCAGUCGAUCCCACGAGUUAGCUUCAAUACGGUGACACGGAAGGCGUUUAUCAUGUACAGAGAUUGCAAACGAAUAUUUUAUUACGUCCCGAAUGAAUUCGAAAACGCAUAAUAUUAAUCUUUACCUUCGCAAUAGUGUAAUUUGCUCACGUAACCAUAGGUGAGAGCGGGUUUAUUUUUACGUAUAAACUAAAGUGUUUUAUAAAAUCGUGUCGCACAGGAAAGAGAACUCGCAGAACAAGGUGCUUCACCACGCGACACCUCGAACGAAUGAACUCUGGUCCUACUCGUGCUUAAUUCUCUCUCUCUCUCUCUCUUUGUUUUUUCCACGAAGGAUCGUUCAAGUGACGAUGCGUUUGAUAGUACUGUGUGUCGUAUACAUUAGGAACGAUAUUCUAUUCCCCCUCGUCGCGUCUAUUCAUGUCCGGAGUAUCGCGAAUAGAUAAUUAAGUAUUCUAUCGUGUGCAUUGCGGACAAUAAAGCAAUGCCAUUGUUGGACCGCAUGUAAUCCUCACUGGCGAUCGCAACUAGGUGCGAUACGUUUACGAAGCCGUUUGUUGGAGAUCUGGCAUGGUGAAGGGGACCUGGUAAGCAUCCCGGAAUUAAAAUGGGAUCGUAGUUAGUAAGUUUACUACUAGUUUAGUAGUAAAUUAAUAGAUAAUAGCUGGUUAAUCGUAACGCGAUUCUACUUGCCCAUGACUUUAAGUACUCGUAUGUACGUAUUUUAUAAAACUCGUAACGAGAUCGGAAGUAGAAGAGAUAAAAAGCGACAGUACCGCGCGGCGCGCGUUCAAAAGGUGUAAUACUUGUUUAAUUGUUGUUUUGUAUGCGUUCGAUUUAAUAUACAUAUGAUUUGUAACAAGUAAGAAUACAUUACGACGCCGUGCCGAAAAUCCUAAACGUUCAUUAACUCACGAUGACCUGAUAUCAGCUCGUAAAUUGCAAUAACGUUUAUGUAACGGAAAUUAUCUGUCACACGUAGCAAUCGCAUUUCAGUGGCGUAUAAAAAUGUAAAUUAUAAAAACGAACCAAUGCAGAUUUACGUAGAAGUAAUUUUUUAAGAUAAUAUUGGAUAUUCUGUGUAUAAAUAAAUUAUAGUAUUGUGAUUAUAAUCUGUAAAGAGCAAUUCUUACACGCGAAUCAUUUGUCGUGUUGUCAAAAGAAGGCCAUCGGGCAUUUACUGAUUAGCAACGAAAUAAUGUCAAUGAAAAUAGAGAGCGCAAGAAAAACAAAGAUGUAUACUGUAUUUUACUUCUCUAUAUAAAAAAAAAGAUGUGAAACUCAUAUACACGUGCACAUAUCUUUUCUUGCUUGCUUUAUCAUUAAGUACGUCAUAUGAUACGUAAUUGCAUUAGAGCACGAUUUAUCUUGAAUCCAGGAAAUUAGGAAAAAUCAACAAAACAGCUGACAUUUGCAAAAUUAGUUUACAUCGUACAUACAUGCAAUUUGCUUUUCAGUUCCGCGAUCGUGGACGUUUUACAAAUCGACAGAUUGCAUCAAAGCUUCCGGUGUGUUGAUGAAGUUAACCGGCUUGAAACUGAACGUUCUGAGCGCGCAAGUUGUUCUAAUUAAUGUCAAUUUUAUUUGUUUCUUAUUCCAAAGCGAAAGCGUCAUCUUUCUAUUAGAACUUUUCACUACAAUUCCAUUUCAGAAUAUGUGUAUACAAUUUAGUAAUAAUUUACUUAACUGGUUUUACCAAUUUUAAUCAUCUUAUAUGAUUAAAAAUAACUUUGUUUUACUAUUCUGAACUUAAUAAACGGCAAUUGAAUUUCA